rnacentral:tRNA from 1 species
GGAGGGUAUCCCGAACGGCUCAGGGGAUGGUUUGCUAAACCAUAACGUCUAAUCACGUUGGGUGGGUUCGACUCCCGCACCCUCCG